CUCAUUCGGUCACUCCCGCGGUGACAGCGAUUCCCACGGCUGAAACUCGAGCGGGCGCUUCAGGCUGGGCCUCGGCCGCCGGGUCCUCCCUUCGGGUGGAGGAGCGGUGGUGGGGGGGUGGGGUUAGCGCCGGUCACGGCUUACAAAACAUACACAGAGGACCCGGUUCGGUUACAAGCCUUCGCCAUUUUGGUUUCCCGCGGAGCGCGCAC